GGCCAUCAAAUGGCCGCUGAGGAUCCCCGUCGUUUCAAAGGGGGCCCAAGGAAGAAUUCCUUCAACAACAGGGGUUUAAUAACGGGGGCCGCCGGUAAAGGUAUUCUGCCCGAGAAUUUCGGAAUAGCAAGGCGGGGUGAUACCGGUCAAGAGGGCAGAGCUGUCGUCACAAGUUGUGGCAGGAUCCUUGAUGUCGACGGGGCCGAGGGACCAGAAGCGGUCGACGUCGAUGGUGGGGCAGUAAAAUUUAUUGCGGGG
rnacentral:lncRNA from 1 species